rnacentral:lncRNA from 10 species
CAGAUUCACUCAUUCAGCCAAAAAACACUUACUGAAUGCCUAACAUGGGGCUAGGCUCUAUGCAUAACAGACCUGAUCCUGCCCCAUAUGGAAUUUACUACAUUUGUAGCUGUGUGACCUGCGGGAAUCACUUCAUCUCUCUGGGUCUCAUGCUCCCCAUCUGCCAAAUGGCGACAGAUAUAUUUAUAUCAUAAAGUAAUUAUUAGAAUUAUAUGAGGGAAUGCAGGGGCGAGAGCUCUGCAGACUGUGCUUGCUCUCUAUUAUUGUCCUCUAUGUAAUGGUUACAUGAAUAGCUUGUGAUCACUUGAAAAUUAUGUCCUAAGUCUAUUUCAAGGGGGCUGAACAUGUUCUGCCUGUCUCAUUUUCCUUCCUCACAUGUUGUCAAGCCAACCAAAACCAGAGUGAGCAGGAGAAACAAAGAGAGUUAUGCUGUGCUGGGCUACGUGUUACAGAGAAUAGCACUCCACUUUGUGUUCUCAAGUGGGUUGGAUUUCAGAUAAGGUCCCAUUAUGAAAUGAACCACGUUCCUACAAAUGUAAUGUUGAAGUCCUAACCUCCAGUACCUGUGAAUUUGACCAUAUUUGGAAAUAGGGUUUUUGCAGAUGUAAUCCAGUUAAGAUAAGAUCAUAAGGGUCAGCCCUAGCCUGAUAUGACUUGUGUCCUUACAACAGGUAAAUUUGGACACAGACACAGAUAAAGGAGAAUGCCAUGUGAAGACACACACAGACACACAGAGGAGGCGGCCAUGUGAAGAUGGAGUCAGAGAGUGGAGUUGUGCAGCCACAAGUCAAGGAAUGCUCGGGGCUAUCAGAAACUGGAAGAAGCAAGGAAGGAUCCUCCUCUACAAGCUUCAGAGGGAGAAACACAGUUUGAAGUAUUAAGGAGAAGAGGAACAUGACGUCUGCGAUUUAUUCUCAAGUGUUUUAGAAAAAAUAUGUGUGUCUGUGUGCGUAUGAGUAGAAAGAGAGAAUGAUAAAGCAGUUGUAAGAAGAUGCUUACAAGAGAUGCAUCUUGAUAAAGGGUAUGUGAAAGUUCUUUUUACUGUUUUUGCAUACUAUUUUCUGUAAGUUGAAAGUACUUCAAAUUAA